GUGUGCCGAUUAUUUUGGGCACCGCCGUUGGUCCACUCUUGUACGCGACAAUUAGGCCACAACGUUAACUCAUAACAGCACAUAAUCUCAGUCCUACCAUAACCAGUUGCCUUUGCGACUCAUAACCUUAAACUAAGAUAAGUAAACAAUUUUCGCAGGGGAAAACGCACUUAAAUACACCUGUGAUAAUUACAAGAUCAUUUUUGUUUAUCUUCAAAUCCAAAUUUAACUUCCCCGUCUCCCGUGCUGUUUACCUGAUGUCUGCCAAUAAAUACAAUCGGGACCAAAUGAGCUUCUUGAACCAGCAGGGAUGGCAGCCGCAGUUGUUGCCUGUGCAGCGUUAUGUCCAAAAUGCAUGGCUCAACUGAUGUCAGAUAAACACGAUGUCACAGUCACCUCAGAUACUUCGUCAACGGAAGAGAAGAUCUCCCUCACUGCAUGAAAACAAGAAAAUUGUGCCGCUCACUGUGAAGAACUCUGGUGUCAAAAUAGUUUAUUUAACUCUUUGGGCUUCUGACCUCGUAAAAAACAUUUUCACUAUCAGAGACUUUCAUGGAAAUAGAAUCAAGACUAUGAAGCAACUCCCUCUUGGACCAGGACAGGCAUAUACAAUCGAUGUCCAUUUCUACUCGGAGUAUGCAGGCUUCUAUGGACAGUUAUUGGUCUUUAAGUUUGAAACAAGGCUGCGGUCCUCAGAUCAUUUUGAGAUUAUGCGCCUGUUGGAAGUCAGACAUCGAACAUCUUUUGUUGAAGAGCCCGUCCCUACAGCCACAAACGCAUUGUGCUACAUUCACACUAAGGUGUGUGUGUGUGUGUGUGUGUGUGUGUGUGUGUGUGCGUUUGCGUGUGCGUGUGUGUUCGUGUGUGUGUGAUUACUUAUGAAAUCAUCCAAUACAGUAUUUUUGGUGAUUUAUUACUGAUUUGAGAAUCUUAAUAAUUUUCUCUCAUGGCCUUUUAUUUAUUUUUAGAAAUAAAUAACCACAAAAGUUUGAAUGUGAAAGAGUUUUAUAUGGUUUUCUGGUUUCUCCAUUCACUUGGAAUACUGUCACUCCUCCCAAUUUAAGUAAAGCAGAAUGCAAAUGUGUUGGUCA